rnacentral:lncRNA from 1 species
GGGAAAACCCCACACCUAUGAUAAAGGUUCAUUGAACUAUUGGAUUUUAGGUGGUUAAGUUGGGGAUAAUAUCGGUGCUAGUUGGUGGGUACUAUGUGGAGGUUCGGUACCGACAUGCCUAAGUGCUAGGGAGUAAUCCUACAUACCAGCACACAUGAGUGUUUGAUUAAGAAAAAAAAAAAAAAACACAGGUGAUGGUGGGCAUAUGCAUUAAUUCGGUACCAACAUGCAUAAAAGGUAGGCCCACUAUAAAUAAUAUUAAUCUAAUAGCACCGAGG